rfam:Macrostomum lignano uti_cns_0006034, whole genome shotgun sequence.
GGGUAGGCAUUGUCAAGCGGCUACUUCGCAAACUCUGACUCAAAUUGGAUUACCGAUUGGAUCCGCGAGACCCAGGCGUCUAGUUGGUCUGACUUGCUUGGCAGUUCAACUGGAUCGUCUGCGCUCUCUCUCCGAAACUUGCUGCUGACGCUAUCCUACCUUUUU